UUUUUUAAAAUUAGAUGUUAAACCUCAGAUCUUCUACAUCUACAGAGCAUAAAACCCACACUUGCCCACACUUGACAAUUCUGGUAACCUUCGAGUCAACAAAGCAUAUUCAGCCUUGAUUCUGGUUUUAACUAGCGCUGUCAGCAUUUUUUCAUCAUCCUGGGUGCCGCCCCACUGCAUUUUAUUUUUUCGUGUAAGCCAUGUAGCAAGUUUAGCCUGACCCAUGAAGAAGUAGUACAGCUUUUUUCUUUGGAACAUACUUUACACAUAAAGAUGCUCUGUCCAUGUGACUCCCAACCCUCUGCACCAAGCUCUAAGCCAUGAAAAAAACCUGUGUAGACGUUCACAAUGCAUAAACAGCCCCUAGAGGGGUCGAUGUGUGCCACGUGUCUGUUUGUGACCACGGUCCCAUGCACUGCCACUAUAGAUCAGCUGUACGCUUCUCUAUGGGUGGUUUGUACAGGGACCUCCAGCAUCCUCAUGGGGAAGAGUCUGGCAUCAACAGCUCUGACCAACGUGACUCCUUUAACCCUGCCAGAAAAUCUCUUUGAGCAACUUUGACACAGGUUUCAUACAGUGCUUUCUUAGAGGCAUCUUCCAGUGUUGUUAAUAGUGGUGUUUGGAGGGACAAAAGUGCUCCCUUCUCCUGCUGAUACUUCCCCACUGCUGCAGAGAUUGAUAAGGGAGGUGGGAGCUGAUGGCUUCUCCCACACUUCUCACACUUCUCCCAGGAUCCUGCCCCAGAGCCUCCCUGAAAUGGGAUGGUAGAGCUGAAACUACCUCUCCGAGCAGUCUCUGCAUAAGGCGGGCUGACAGUAUUCCAAUCUCAGAUCACAGAUCCCUAGCAGCCUUCCGGUCACUGCCAGAUCUCAGAUCCUUGAUUUUGGUGAGCCCUGCUUUCCAGAAAUGCUGUUGGAUGUAGGGAGAGGAGAGCAUUCUGGACUGUAUCUGGGAUUGUGAAAGAGUGGUUCUUCUUCAGUGCAUGGAAAGGGCUGUGUGCCAAUGCUGCUGAUCCUCAACGCUGAAGACCAGUCUCUCAGGACUGACUGGUAGAACAGUGUUGUUGCUGACAGGUCCAUUUCCCUCAGGUUCAGCACCAAUAGAUUCUUUAUCAUAGUUCAAAUGUUCAACGCGCUGUAGUAGGGUGUAAGCCGUGUCAGCCCAUGCUAGUCCUUCUUCAUAGAAAAGCCUUUGUGCUGUCUGCAGUUGGAAAGUUCUGACACGACAUGACAGGUCAAUCAGGCCUUGACCACCCUCCUGCAGCGGCAACUAAAAACAGAGGCACGAGUCCAGUGCUGUCCAGCCCAGCAAAAAGUCACUAUACUCUUUUGAACAUCCCUGAUCAGUGACUCUGGAGGUUCGAGGACAGUGAAACAAUGCCACAGCAAGGAGGCUAUCAGAUUGUUGGUAACCAGUACUCUCCCUCUGUAGGAUAGCUGGGGCAGGACCCAGGUUCACUGAGACAACUUGGUACAACACCUUCCCCACUACCCCCUCCCAGUUCUUGUUUUGAAAGCCAGCUGUUCCUAAAAACACCCCAAGAUAUCUCAAAGUAGAAAACCUCUUCCUACACCAAAGGCUUCGAGUACCUGAAAGAGAUGAUCGUGAUCAACCCUGUCAAAGGCUUUUUCCUGAACUAAAGACAGAAAACCCAGAUCACAAGAGUUCAGCCUGCACAGUUCAAUCACAUCUCUAACAAGAAACAGAUUGUCCAUUAUGGUGCGGUUUGGUAUGCAGUAUGACUGGUUUCUGUGCACUAUCGUGUGUAAAAUCUUAGAGUCACUGCUUAAAAGUGCCACAGGUCUUCAGUUCUUAAGAAGUCCCAAGUCUCCUUUUUUUGGAAGUAGUGAAAGUGCUGCUCUUGUGCAACUCACCAGCAAUUUUCCAUUGAUAAAAGAGCUUUUGAACACCUCAAGCAGGUCUGUACCUAGUGCACGUCCAAGCUGCUGGACUGCAGUGGCCACUUCUUGAAGUUCAGGACCUGCACCUAACAUGUUGCUCUGUUCAGGGGACAGUUUGGGAAGUUCUCUGAGUAGCUCCUCUGUGCAGGAUGGUUCGUAGGCCUCAGCACUGUAGAUGUCUAUGUAAAAUUUGGCCUUUCUCCUCAUUUUAGAUUACAGUUCCAUCUCCUUGUCUGAGAUAAAGCAUCUGGUUCUGGGGUUUUGUCUUUUUGGUGAGGCUGAAGAAAAAGCUGGGGGCAUCCAUGUCUUUAAUGCUGGAAAAGAGGCAUGCAGGACAAGCGGCUUAUCCAUGCAGGAAAGAACUUAAAAACCUCUUCCUUCCAAUUGUUUCAAGGUUGCUUAAGAGAGACUUCUGUCUCGCCUACAGGAAGCCAUACAGCACCUGCCUCUGGACCUGGAUUAUUUAUAUUUUAUUUGCACAAAUGGCUUAAUAUUGAUCACUUCACACAAAAAUCGUGCACACUUGCCUCGAGAGGUAUAUCUCUGUCAAACCUGUGUUCUAUACUUUCUAUUCGACUGGACACAAGGCAUACCACUUCAGUUUCUGUGGAUGAAUUGAAAUUCGACCAGCAGGACGUCUGAAACUCAUCGUAUCUGAGCAGCACCUCAGACAAUUGAUUGAAAUUGGUCUAAAUGUACCCUGCAUUUCAAAACUGCUGGCUUGUCAGCACGAACUGUAGAACGGAGAAUGCAUGAUUUUGGUAUUACAGUGAGAGGAACAUACAGUCAUCUGACAGAUGAAGAUUUAGACAAUUUUGUGGUUGCAAUCAAAACAACAUCACCACACUCAGGUUACAGAAUGACGAGAGAACACGUGCAGGCUCUUCGUCAUCGGGUACAGUGGAGCAGAGUCUGGGACUCUAUGAAUAGAGUCGAUUCAGCUGGAGUCCUUGGUAAAAUGUCACAACUUGGACAUGUUGUAAGAAGAUCAUAUGCAGUUCAAGCAUCUCUGUCCCUUGUGCAUUUGGACACCAACCACAAGCUGAUCAGAUAUUUGGGGGCAUAGACAGCUACUCAAGAAAGGUUAGUGGUGGAUUUUUUUCAUGAAAUAAUUGUAUAAAUGUUUUGUAGUCAUACAGUUAUGUAGAUGCUAGUAACUUUAUAAAACAAGUUAUUCAUUAGAUCAUGUAUUUGGGAGCAGCAACCAACAACAGAGCAGAGACUGCUCUAGGUUUUUUCCUUGAGGCAGUAGAGAAACAUGGAGUUCCCUCACAGUAUUUUUGCACAUUUGACUACAUCCAUCCAUCCAUCCAUCCGUCUGUCUGUUGGUCUUAAAACCUUCAUUAAUAUUUAAAGCUGCAUCAAAUGUCAACUCUUCAAAAUUUAAGAUAUUACAUUUAUUUUUAAAACUGAGGACACCAUGCCAACACCAAAGUUUGAUGUUCACAGUUCAGGGCUGUGGCGGGGGAAGUUUCAUUCAUAAUCGAAGGUAAUUUCUUGUUUGUUUAGGGUGGGUAAUUCCCUUCAACUUUUUGAAUUAUAAAUGACUGUUGGCUAAUUGUAUGUAAGAAUAUUUUUGUUUUUCAUGUUUAGGGUUGAAAGGUUGUGGACAGGUGUGUGGAUGUCCGUUUCGAACUUGUAUUAGGAUGUUCUACACAGUCUGGAAGAAAGUAGCUCUCUUGAGCCAUCAAAAACCCUUCACCUCUUCUGUGUACAUUAUGUUUUUCUUCCACGCCUCCUAAGAGACCUAGGACCUCAACAUUUCGUUGCCCGAAUGCACUUACCCUCUGGAGGAGCAGAACACAGGAGUAGUGGUCCCUCAGGUGGAGUGUCUGCUCUCAGAGGAUGAAAUGGCACAACUGAGGACAAACAUUAAUCCAGUCUCACAGUCAAGAGACUUUGGCCAAGAUAUUUACUUGUCAGUGCUAGAUUUUGUACAACAGCUUGUUGAAGCAUAAAGCAAGAAAGUAUAAUUCUUUGAUUUUUUUUCUGUAAAAUUUAUGGUGUCAUUUUAACUAAUCUGUACCUAGCAAUUGUAACAUUUUUUAAGCCUUAAUUUAUUUCAUAACCAAUGUGAAAUUAUGAGUGAAUGAACACCUUUGAUAUGAAAAUAAAAUACAAGCAAUGACUU